GUUCUAUUAUUAUUACGUUUACUGCUUGGUCUGUUUUCUUUGAUAUCCAUUUGACGUGGCUCGGUACUUAUACAUCCCUUCAGUGUUGUUUUUAUUAUCUUUCGUUUUUGCUGGUGUGUUUUGUGCGUGUGAUUUUUGUGUUCUUUGGUACAUGUGACGUGGCUCUGUGCUUUUAAAGAUCCCGCCAUUAUUUUAUUGUUCUAUUAUAAUGCCAUUGUUUUAUUGUUCUAUUAUAAUUUUGAAAAUACUUUGAACGACAAAAUUAUUUUACUUGCGUAGUGAUAUUAACCAUUUGGAUUAAAAAAAAACUUCUGGUUAAUUUUAAAUCUCGGUCAUUUUCUGAAAUAAGUUCUAACAAAACUUUUGAUUUUUAAAUUUUGUUUACCACCACUCCCCAUGUGAAAUUAUAAUUUUGAAAAUACUUUGAACGACAAUAUUAUUUUUAAUUUUUCUUCCUGUCUGACGCUUACAUUCUGACGUCAAACACUUGACUCUUCACUAGAGUAGAUGUGAACACAGUCACAGGACUUCAAAUAUUUCAAUCCUUUAUGGGUUGAUUU
rnacentral:lncRNA from 1 species